rnacentral:rRNA from 1 species
UGCCACAGCCAUGUCACCCUGCAGCCCAAGACCGGUUACUCACUAAAGCUAAGCAGGGCUGAGCCUGGUAAGUACCUGGAUGGGAGACCACUAGGGAACACUAGGUUGCUGUUGGAA